rnacentral:rRNA from 1 species
GUUUACAGCCAUGCUACCCUGAACAAGCCUGAUCUCAUCUGAUCUCAGAAGCUAAGCAGUUUCAGGCCUGGUUAGUGCUUGGAUGGGAGACCACCUAGGAAGAUCAGGUGCUGUAGGCA